rnacentral:rRNA from 1 species
AGAAUCAACGCUGGCGGCGUGCCUAACACAUGCAAGUCGAACGCGAAAGUCCCGCAAGGGAUGAGUAGAGUGGCAAACGGGUGAGUAACACGUGGGUGACCUGCCCUCGAGCGGGGGAUAACGUCCCGAAAGGGACGCUAAUACCGCAUGACAUCCUGCCUUUGAACAGGCGGAGAUCAAAGCUGGGGAUCGCAAGACCUAGCACUCGAAGAGGGGCCCGCGCCUGAUUAGCUAGUUGGUGAGGUAACGGCUCACCAAGGCGACGAUCAGUA